CACACACACAUACACACAUAUAUUUUCAUACAUACAUUGUAAAGGGAUUUGGUGAUAAUUAGUUAUGGUGAUGGUUUCACCAUUAAUCAAUGCUUUCAACAGCCGGCUGGUUAUUUGGUUGUUUGUUUUUCUGAUGCGUGUGUUCGCUUGUGCGUGCAAAAGGCCUUUAGUUCCCGCCACCGAAACCUGUCGGUGACCCCUCAGCAUGGACAGUCACUUAGCUCCGAUCUUCUUGACUGCUCACAUCCUUUUAUAUUCAUGAGAGAACUUGAGAGCAGCUCUUCUCUGGCGAGCCGAAUUGUCUUGACACAUCUGUAUCUUCCACCUCGGUGCCCCACACCUCUCGGUACCCUGUUCUACGGAUCUCGGCGCAACGGAUUCAUUUUGUUAUUUGUCAUCGAAAUACUUGUAUACAUACUUGUGAAUAUAUAUAUUUGAGUUCUC